UCUGUUCAGGUAAUUAUGAGCUGUCAGGUGAAAGUGUUUGAUGUCGAGGGGAGCGUCUGAUUGGCCGACGAUGUUCUCAUAAUGACAGGGAGCUGACACGUCCUGCAGGCGAACACUUAAUGAUAUUUAAUGUUAAAGUUAAACACUCAGAGAGGAUGGUCUUCAUUGGUAAACAUGUCUAAUGGAGCUUAGCAAACACCCAGUGGAUGUAAUGACGUUAAUGGAUCCAAGGAACAGAACAGGGAGGGGUCCUGAUGACAUCACAGUACAGGUGAUCACAGGUGAAUCCACUGAUUGCUAACGGGGUGCACCUGGUGGUGCUGAAAGCCAAAGUGCUGCCUGCAGGAAGAAUCAAAUGAUGACAUCACUUCUAUACUUUUCCUCAAAAUACUCAGACUUUAUUCUCAAUAUAUUUUCAAAUUUCACUUUUUAUUGUUAUUAUAUGAGGAAUAAAUAAUAAAAGACUCCUAAUCCA